UCUCUCUCUCUCUUUCUCUCCCCCCUCUCCCUGUGUCUUGUCAGCCUUUAAGAUCGACAUUUUGUAACUAAGAUGCAAACUUGAUGGUGACCAGGAGGAAAAAGGGAAAGCCGUGGGUCACUAUCACAUGACAAAGGCUUCGAGACAGCUUCAUCUUCCUCUGUCUGUAAUUUCCAUUUGCCUUCCUGGGUGAUCUGCUGGAGAGGGGGCCUAAAUACUAACAACAGCACUGAAACAUCACCAACACUGGAGUGGAAAGUGACUGUCAUCUUGCAUACAACACACAAUGUAACAAUGUGAGGAUAGGAAAUUUCGGCCAACAGAAUUGAGGUAAAUCUUUCUUUUACAUAAUGUGC